rnacentral:rRNA from 1 species
GACGAACGCUGGCGGCAUGCCUAACACAUGCAAGUCGAGCGAGCAGAUCCCUUCGGGGUGAAGCUAGCGGCGGACGGGUGAGUAACACGUGGGCAACCUGCCUCAUAGAGGGGAAUAGCCUUCCGAAAGGAAGAUUAAUACCGCAUAAGAUUGUAGCUUCGCAUGAAGUAGCAAUUAAAGGAGCAAUCCGCUAUGAGAUGGGCCCGCGGCGCAUUAGCUAGUUGGUGAGGUAACGGCUCACCAAGGCGACGAUGCGUAGCCGACCUGAGAGGGUGAUCGGCCACAUUGGGACUGCGACACGGCCCAGACUCCUACGGGAGGCAGCAGUGGGGAAUAUUGCACAAUGGGGGAGACCCUGAUGCAGCAAUGCCGCGUGAGUGAUGACGGCCUUCGGGUUGUAAAGCUCUGUCUUCGGGGACGAUAAUGACGGUACCCGAGGAGGAAGCCACGGCUAACUACGUGCCAGCCGCCGCCGUAA